AUUGAACGCUGGCGGCAUGCCUAACACAUGCAAGUCGAGCGGAGCGGCGGAAGGGUGAGUAAUGCCUAGGAAUCUGCCUGGGAGUGGGGGAUAACGUCCGGAAACGGGCGCUAAUACAGCAUACGUUCAAAUCAGCCUAGGUGGGAUUAGCUAGUUGGUGGGGUAAAGGCCUACCAAGGUGACGAUGCGUAGCUGGUCUGAGGGGAUGAUCAGUCACACUGGAACUGAGACACGGUCCAGACUCCUACGGGAGGCAGCAGUGGGGAAUAUUGGACAAUGGGCGAAAGCCUGAUCCAGCCAGGCCGCGUGUGUGAAGAAGGUCUUCGGAUUGUAAAGCACUUUAAGUUGGGAAGCGUUACCAACAGAGUAAGCAACGGCUAACUUCGUGCCAGCAGCCGCGGUAAUAC
rnacentral:rRNA from 1 species